ensembl:lncRNA
GCAUAUUUUAUUUAACUCAUAUAUUCAAACCAUAAACAAUUCAAUAUGUAAUGGACAUAAGAGUAACAGAUAUUUUACAUUUUUUAUACAGUUUUCAAAAUCCAGUGUAAACUUAGAGCACUUCUCAAAUCAGAUUUGUCACAUUUCAAGUGUUCAACAGUCAAUAGCAAGUGGCUAUCACACUAGUACAUGCAGAUAAAGAAACUUCAGUGCCUCAGAACAUUUUCCUAAGUCCCAAGCACACUUACUUAUUGUUUUAGUUGCUAAGUCAUGUCUGACUCUUUUGGGACCCCACAGACUGCAGCCCGCUAGGCUCCUCUGUCUGUGGGAUUUCCCAGGCAAGAAUACUAGAGUGAGUUGCCAUUUCCUUCUGCAGGGGAUCUUCCCAACCCAGUGAUCAGACCCAGGUCUCCUGCAUUGUCAGGUGGGUUCUUUACCACUGAGCCAUCUGGGAAGCCCCAAACUGCAUUUUACCCAUGAAUUUAACAGGAAAGAUCUGCAGGCCUCCUGUGUUCAAAACUCAGAGACCGUGAAAAGUGUAGGUGGGUCCUCUGUUUCUGUCACCCCCACAGGCACUGCGGUGGCCCACUCUUUCAAGGGAUCCUUCUCCUUAGCCUUCCUCAAGGCCUAGAAGUGUCACAGGAUAUUCCACAGGCUGGUCUCAGUGGCUUCAUCUGCUCGUCACCUCACUUUUCUAUCCCACUGCUCAUCCCCCACUGCUUAUUGAUUUAACAUCACAUUUAUCCCACAAUUUCCUCUUUCUAAAUGUUCUCUAAGCCUUUCUCUUCCUUAAUUCUAGUACCUUCAGGAAUCCACUUCAACCUUGAGUAUUUUGAAAACCUAGCUCUCACCAGUCCCAACCCUCUGCCAUCAUCCCACACACUUAACCAUUUGUAUGCACGUAAAAGCAGUCAUUUAAUUAAUACAUCCUUUUUUUCUUUGGGCUUCCCUGGUGGCUCAGAGGUUAAAGCAUCGGCCUGCAAUGUGGGAGACCUGGGUUCGAUCCCUUGGUUGGGAAGAUCCCCUGGAGAAGGAAAUGGCAACCCACUCCAGUAUUCUUGCCUGGAGAAUCCCUUGGACGCAGGAGUCUGGUGGGCUACAGUCCACGGGGUCGCAAACAGUCAGACACGACUGAGUGAUUUCACUUUCACUUUCUUUUGGUCAAGCUGCACAGCAUUUGUGAUCCUAGUUCCCCACCAGGGAUAAAACUUGUGUUCCCUGCAGUGAAAGUGUGCAGUCUUAACCACUGGACCACUAGGGAAGUCCUUAAUAUAUUUUUUGAUAUUAUCCAUAUUAUGUCUUAUAUCCUGGCUUAAGUUAGCUUCACCUUUUUGCUUUAACACAGUGCUAUGCACUGAAGGAACUCAUAUUUUUCUCACAAUGUUUGUUGGUCAGAACAAAGAUACAGCUCAGUACAAUCAUGUUAGAACACUCAAAUGCAGUGAAGAUGCUUCACUAUUUCUUUGGGACUAAAAUUGAACAUUAAGGCUUUGCCGGAUAUUUGUAUACAGCUCAGGUUCACAGCCAUUGGUUGGCUGGUAUUACUAAUUUAAAUCUAAAGGUAGUACUUCAGAUACUAUUUCCUCACUUAUGACUCAAAAAAUGGAACAAAAUCAACUCUUUUUUGUACAAAAAAAUCUGUUUUUUUCCUACCACUAUAAUUUGAAUAUAAACUAUACACUUAGAGAUGCUUAAUUUAAAAAAUAAUUACAUCUUAGUAUAUGUUAAUGACAUGUUUAUUCCAAGUUUUAGGCUUGAUAACUGAUGAGGAAUUUUGCCAUCUUUCCCGAUUUUUCAGUAGAACUGGCUUAGAGUCUUAGCCAACUAAAUUAUAAUAAUCCACUAGUUUGAAACUAUAAUAAAAUAAUCAUCUCAUUAAAUGAACUGCAUUUCCUUUUGAAGUUACUUUCCCCUUAGGGCCUUGUAGAAAGGCUGUUAAGAAGUCUUCCUCAAUUGCAUAAAUUCCUGCUUUGUUUGGACUUAGAUACUGAGGUGUGAGCAAUGAAUUCAUAACUUAUAGAUGGUGAGUACCUUUAACUAGAAGCACAGCAUUUCCUGAAGCAAAGACAAUACUUUUUAAAAUUAAAAAAUUAAUUUUUACUGAAUGCCCUUGAUCUGCAGAGAACCUCUCCCCCCUCACCUUCCCCCUUACUCCCCCUACCUCCCCACUUCCCACCCCCAAACUGCUUACACUAGAACUGAACUUUUUCCUUUUUCUUUUGAGCUGGAGUUUUGCUAUUUUACAGACAUAUAAAAAACAUAGUGUCUCUGGAUGAACAGUAUAAGAGAUGAGAGUCAGAAUCAGGACUUAUAGUCAGAACUCUCCAACCCUGGAUUAGUCAAUAUUUUUUCAAUAAUUAUCUACAGUUAGGAAAAGGCAAGUUAUUAAAGCUGCAAAUAGAUCCAGGGUUAGAUCCUCUGGGAAGUUUUCUGAUUUCUGUGGAAAUUAUCCAGAACCCAUUUUUCUUGGCCAGAAUCUGCUGAUCCCCAAAAAUGUAAGGACCAAGUGGUGUCCCCAAGCCAGUCACUGGUUAUCAUUAAAGGGCAAUGUGUAUGUGUGUUGGUGUGUGAGUGGAGAGGGGGGCUACAAAAAUCCUUUUCUGUUUAAGAUGAAUGCAUGCAUUCACUUCAGUUUGAAACACCUCUGUGAAGCCUAGACUGUGUGCUUAUGUAUAUAUGGGAUCUCUCAGCUCACUGAACAUAGCUGGCCAGCAGGCCAAGGUUUGGCAUCUUCAAAUUUCAGGUCUGUACUUAAGGCAAUGAUGUGAAUAUGUCCCCAGGUCACUUAGCUUGCCUAUCAGGCUUACAACCUGAAGUAUGUCUCCAGACACCUUCAAUGUGGUAAGAGAAAAAUUCAUAGCCAAAUAGUCUAUAGUGCUCAUAACAUAUUACUCCACUAUAAUUAUUUCACUCUGUCACCCCUGCCUCUCUCAGACAGGAGACGGAGGAAAAAGAAAAAAGCUCUAUUUCUUUAGGGUUCCUUGAUGCAAACUCUCUGCAGUUUAUCUCAUCAUUUCCACUUCUUUUCCUACCCCAAGACUUUCCAGCAGUUUCUCUGAUUUUUCCUGACGAUAAACAGGCCAGCUGGCAACACACCCGCCUCCAAAUCCCCUGUUUUGCUCAGAUGGUCACCUCUGACCGCGACCCUCCGGCGACGAAAUACAGGAGAACCCAGAGGGGUGGCGCCGCCUCCAGUUCUCCGUCGGCUCCACUUCAAGCUGGUUAUUUCUUCUCAGCUUCAGCUCCUUUCCUCCAGCCGCUGCUGUUCCAGAAGCUCUGGGCUGUUGGGUCCUCGGCUCCCAGGGCCCCUACAGGGUGGCGGGCAACUGAAGAGGGGCGAGGGGAAGGAGGCCGGUAGCGUGCAGCUCUGCUGAAUGCGGCGCGGGGACCUUGCUCGCUGGGUGGAAGAGGGGGCGCUAGCGGGCAGGAGGCCUUGCCCGGGUGCCGGGAAGGGCGCGCGGGCUAUGGGGUGGCGCCUGUGCAGCCCCUCGGGGACGCGCCCUCUGUAGCUUCUGGCUGGGAACCAGGCUGCCGCCUCCGAGCAGCCCUCCGCAUCGCUGCCUUCGAGCUACGGAUGGAGCUCCGGGAGGCAGGCGAGGGAAGCGGGGGCGUGACUGGGGCGCUGAAGUAGGCGAGCCACAGGGCGCCGCGCCACCGCCGCGCCGGGCAGCAGUAGGGCAGCCGGAGGGGCAGCGACAUCUGCGGGCGGGCGGUCGAUGCUUCCUGGCGGCGCGGAGCAAGCGGGGCGGCCCCGAGGACUUGGGCCGUGGCGAAGCUGGCGGGCCUCACUGCCGGUGGAUGGACGGCAAACUUGCCAGUCCCGCUGGAGCUCAGGCCUCCAGCGCGUGGCCCCGGGCCCAGACUGUAGAAGAAGCGAUGUCCCUGGCCGCGCGCUUACAUUCAUCCCCCCGCUCGGGUAGCUGGGCGAUGUCCGUGAAUCUUCGGUUUAUCAAGUCACCUCGAGGGAUUCAGGGAACCCGUUUUUCCAACUGGGGAUAUAGUGAUUAUUCUCGCUGCCUCUUGCCUUUAGAAAGUUAUUCUAACACGGUUGAUCAUCCAGCCAGAGUAAGAAGGGAAAAUAAACAGCGUGGUCUGUCCCUUGUUGAGGCGAUGUACAGGGAUCCCGCCAAGUUUGCAGAGCCAGUUUUAGGCGGAGCGGCAAACACAGCCCAUUGACAAUUCAGCCCCGGAAAGGGUUAAGUGCAUCCUGCAGGUUAGGUUUACAUGUAAAUAGAGAGCAGCUGCUCCGCGCGGGCCCCAGUUGGCCCUUUUAAGUUUUUGAUUGGCUGCC